CUAUAUUUCUCAUGUAUAGAUGACAGUUCAUGACUGUUAGAGAGGAGGAAGGUGCCUUUCCACCACCCAUAAUAAAUUGGGACAGAUAGGGAGACAUUGUAAAGAAUACCCAAUUUAAUGUGCUUAUUUUUUAUGCAAUUUCAAGAUUGUCUCUUGUGCUUGUUCAAACACAUAACCCAGAAAUGAAAGCACCAGCACCACAAGAGAUGUCGUAUUAUGAUCAUGUCAAGAAACGCCAUGAACAGAAAGGCUGCCCCUACGCCUUUUUCUUCACUCUAUGCUGCUGCUUUUGCUGCUAUGAGGGCUGCGACUGCUGCUGCUGCUGCGCUCGUCGAAGAGCUGGUUGAAUUGAGAAACAAAACUGAAGGUUUUGCUGUUUAGUUUUAAGUUAUUAUCAUUUGUGAAUUGCUAUUGAAGAAUUCUUCUCAUAAGCGGCCGAUUGUCCAGUAGAUUUCAUCUGUCUGAGAUUGCUUCUGCUCCUUGUACUGCUGUUGUUGCUAUGUUUUUAAGAAAUUAAGAGUUUUCUUCUCCA